GGAAUGAAAGAGGGAUGCUGUGUUCACAUGCUCCAACAAGUCCACCACCACUGAUAACCUUUGAAAAAAUCAUAUUUUGCACAGAUGCAUGUAAAUGGGAAUAUUAGUGGAAUAAUCACUUUCAUUAGCCAUGUAAACAGCAUAGUCAGAAUAUCGCCUUUUUCACAAUUAGGGCAAUAAGCAG